rnacentral:ncRNA from 2 species
AAGGACAACAAAAUAACUUUUCGUAUAAUCUCAAGAAUCGGCUUGAGAGUCUCUACAAGGUCACCGUAAAUGAUCUGGCUACGAAAAGCGAAGAAGAGCGU